UGUUGAGUGAUGAUAAAAAUUCAUUCGGAUUCCCAUUGACAUAUUUAUGCAUGAGAUCACAGCCUAUUUCUGACAACA
rfam:Lupinus angustifolius cultivar Tanjil contig_26974, whole genome shotgun sequence.